GGCUCGUUGGUCUAGGGGUAUGAUUCUCGCUUUGGGUGCGAGAGGUCCAGGUUCAAAUCCCGGAGAGCCC
rnacentral:tRNA from 1 species